rnacentral:misc_RNA from 1 species
CAGCAGUCGCACGUUAAUUGAAAAAAAAUAUGCGACUUUCUGUCUGUUUUGCUCCAUCAGUCCAUAAAUUGAGGUCCUGUUUAUUUACAAAGCUACAUUCUGCAACUUUCAGCGGUCGUAUUCACUUUAUGGCGUGUGGGCAAUUGAACGUGGCUAAGGGGAAUGGGGUUGAGGUUCUUGAGAAGGUCGAAGGAUUUGAAGCCCGACGGAAUACGCUGUUAUUUGGUGCCCGAAAGUCUGGGGUGGAAGGCCCAUACAUACCGCAACGGACAGUCGUGUUUUUCCCGGGUGACGUUCAGAAUUUCGAGAACAUCAUGAAGCAUCAUGAAGCAAAUCAGAAAUGGAAAGAAUGGACAUUUGAGAGCACUGUUGGCAUGUUGCAGAAUAGGUUCCCUGAUGCUCAGGUUGUCAUGGUGACACCCUCACGUCGGGUGGACGAGACCUUCAGUUGCUAUGACAACUUUAUGGAGACAGACGUCCUUGGUUCGCCCACCAGCUACGAGUACCGUCAUGCAUGGGAGCAUCUGAGACUCCUGAUUCAGAAUGCUUGGAAAUGUAUCACAGAAAAGCCAUCCACGGAAGGAGCAGAUCCUGCCGGAGAAAAAGUGACUGAGUCUUCACUGACGGUGAUUGGUUUCAGCAAAGGCUGUACAGUCCUCAAUCAGCUCAUGUACGAACUAGAAAGGGCAUGCUCAGACCAAGCAAUACUUGCCUUUAUCAGGAGAGUCGAGGCCUUCUAUUGGCUAGACGGUGGCCAUGCUGGUACUGUCUCGACGUAUGUUACAGAUGACAGUGUUUUAAGAGAGGUUGCCAACCUCAAGGCUACAUUCAAUGUUCAUGUCACUCCCUACCAAGUUAAAGAUGAAGGGCGCCCUCAUAUAGGUGAAGACCAUCUUCAAUUCAUCUCCAAACUGAUGUUGUAUGGUGCAGACGUUAAGAGCACUCUUCACUUCAGAGACGAAAGCAGAUCAUUAAAGAGGCAUUUUGAGGUCCUCAAGCUCUUUUGAGGGCUUCAUAGUGCACGUGAAGGUGUUAUGAUACUCUUGCCAGAAGAUAUGUUGCGGACAGAGAUCCAUCAAGAAUGGCAGAUUGAUGACAAAGCUGUGAUUGACAAUCAACGAGGAACCUGUCACAGACAUCAAAGAUCAUUCAAAGCAAUGAUGGUCUACAGGCAUUUAGAUGAGAAGCACUAGGCUGUUGAGGUAGUCAACCACCUUGCUUUUUGGGCACGGAUCCUAGAGGACAGGAAGGACAUAGUAGCAUUCGGUGCAUGGU